rnacentral:lncRNA from 10 species
AAGAAAAAGUGGCUGCCAUUGAAGCCCUAGAUAAUGGUGCACUACAGAAAGCCACUGUCUUGUUCAGAGAUGCCAUCAAGCUGAAUCCUCGCUUGACCAUUCUGUAUGUCAACACAGUCAGUAUCUUCAUCACAUUACAGAAGCCAAACACUGCCAUUCGAGACUGACAGAACAAAUGAAAUAAAUUCUGAUUUGGCUCAGCCUUAUAAGUGGUGAGGGAAAGCACACAGAUUUCUGGGCCAUUGGAAAGAAGCAGCUAUAAUCUUGACCCUGACCAUAACUGGAUUAUGAUGAAGAUACUAGUACAAUGCUGAAAGAAGUUCAACUGAGGGCCAAGAAAAUUGCACAACAUUAGAAAAAGGUUGAAUAGAAAUAUCAAGAGUAAGAAAUCAAAGAAAGAAUAAAAAGGGUUAAGAAGGCUCCGUAAGAUCAUGAGAGAGCUCAGAGGGAGAAAGAAGCCAGAUGACAUUCAGGAGCUCAGUAUGGCUCUUUUCCAGGUGGCUUUCCCAGGGGGAAUGCCUGGUAAUUUUCCUGGAGCAAUGCCUAGAAUGGCAGAAAUGCCUGGAUGCAAUGAAAUUCUUAGUGAUUUAGCUUGACCUAGAGGUUCUUGCAGCCAUGCAGGAAACAGAAGUUACAGUGAUCUUCUAGGAUGUGGCCCAGAACACAGCAAAUAUGUCAAAACACCAGAGUAACCAAAAAAAUUAUGAAUCUCAUCAGUAAAUUGUCAGCCAAAU